AUGGUCAGAAUACAAGUCCGGCUCCCAUCCACCCACUACUGCCACCUCACAUGCACACUAGAGCCCUUCCCACUUUACACAAGGUUAAGACAGGAGAGGGCUGGAGCAAUUGCUGGCCUAUGCCGUGGUCUAAAAAUCUUAGUUACCUCUUCUGGAUUGUGCCUUAAGGACAUGAGCAAUGCCCCUAGUGCUAAAAAGUACAAGUAAGCAGUUGGUG
rnacentral:lncRNA from 1 species